UGAAGACCUAAAGACAGACAAGACAGAAGGUUUUCAGAGGGUGAAGUGAAGCCCUUUCUCAAUCCUUGUAUUAACAGCGGUGAAAGCAGGGAGGAUCCUGGUGAAGAAAGGACUAUUGAACUUGGUGCCCAGGAAAGGGCCAAGAAAGAAUCUGUUUAGCACAGGGAGAUCAAACUACUCUUGAUAUCAAACACUGCAUCAGCAAGGCAAAAGCUGUCACCUGAGAAGGGCAGUAGGAUUAUCAAGCAGCCCUACACUAACAAAUGAAGGACUGUGAACCCAGGCAGGGUUGAAGAAUUGUUUCUGUUUGGGUUUUUAAUUUAAAGUAUUGUCCUCACCCAGCACUAAAAAACCCUCAUGAUUUCAAACAUAAUUUUGUGUCCUUUUUAUUGGCCCUCUGGCUUCUGAGCCUUUUGGAGUUCAGUUGUUUCAUGUAUUCAAGCUUCUCAGCAAUCUUGAGGACUAGAAACUUACCAUUUUAAUUAUAGAUGAGCUUCUCAUGCAGUUGCUUGAUUCCAGCAGCUGGGGCUUUCAGGAAAAGACCAAGAUUUGUGAUUAAAUAGCAAGAGUUGGCAGUACUGUAUUUUCCUCAGAAAGGGAGGACUCUGAUUUGGCCACAAGGCAAAGUUAUGUUACCAGAAGGGACAAGGAAGCAAAAAUUAACCUGUUGUCAAAGGGUGACCAUUUCCAGUGAGAAAACCAAGGAAGCACUAAUGGGGAAACUGUGGCAGCAAUGCCCAAAAGGGUCUCUUCGUUACUUUGGAGGUCACUGUCCCUUCAGGCCAAGCAAAUAUUAUCAGUGUACAUGAACCAUCUGGAGACUGUGUUUGACCAAAAUUUGCAGAGCACUAGCAGUCUUCCACCUGGGUGAGAAAAUACCACCCUGGCCUCUGUAUGAAGAUUCUUCUGAUUUUUUUCCUGCAUUCUGGAACUUUCUCCCAAAAGCACCUACAGCUAAAUCAGCGGGAUUGCAUCUACCAGCAGAAUUUUCAAGUUGCAAAAAUGUUUGGAUCAGGGAUCAAAUUUCAGGUGCCGUUUGAAGAAUUUCUUCUCCAUUCAUCCCCAAAUGAUGCUUUUGAGUCUACUUCGCACAUGACUUAGCCUGCUCAGCUACACCAUGAAGCCAAUGGCUUAAUGAUUCAACAAGCAUAAACAUCUCAUCUCCAUGAGGUCCUUGAAUCCAACUUACAGCUCUACCAGGAUGUGUGUAUAUUAGACUGUUUACCCAUA